rnacentral:tRNA from 1 species
UGGGGUAUCGUCUAAUGGUAGGACAGCAGUUUCUGGAACUGUUAAUCGAGGUUCGAGCCCUUGUACCCCAG